GGGUUGUGAGGUUAAGCGACUAAGCGUACACGGUGGAUGCCCUGGCAGUCAGAGGCGAUGAAGGGCGUGCUAAUCUGCGAUAAGCGCCGGUAAGGUGAUAUGAACCGUUAUAACCGGCGAUACCCGAAUGGGGAAACCCAGUGUGAUUCGUCACACUAUCAUUAACUGAAUCCAUAGGUUAAUGAGGCGAACCGGGGAACUGAAACAUCUAAGUACCCCGAGGAAAAGAAAUCAACCGAGAUUCCCCAGUAGCGGCGAGCGAACGGGAGGAGCCCAGAGCCUGAAUCAGCAUGUGUGUUAGUGGAAGCGUCUGGAAAGGCGCGCGAUACAGGGUGACAGCCCCGUACACAAAAGCGCAUGUGCUGUGAGCUCGAUGAGUAGGGCGGGACACGUGGUAUCCUGUCUGAAUAUGGGGGGACCAUCCUCCAAGGCUAAAUACUCCUGACUGACCGAUAGUGAACCAGUACCGUGAGGGAAAGGCGAAAAGAACCCCGGCGAGGGGAGUGAAAAAGAACCUGAAACCGUGUACGUACAAGCAGUGGGAGCACAGGUUUACCUGUGUGACUGCGUACCUUUUGUAUAAUGGGUCAGCGACUUAUAUUCUGUAGCAAGGUUAACCGUAUAGGGGAGCCGCAGGGAAACCGAGUCUUAAUUGGGCGUUAAGUUGCAGGGUAUAGACCCGAAACCCGGUGAUCUAGCCAUGGGCAGGUUGAAGGUUGGGUAACACUAACUGGAGGACCGAACCGACUAAUGUUGAAAAAUUAGCGGAUGACCUGUGGCUGGGGUGAAAGGCCAAUCAAACCGGGAGAUAGCUGGUUCUCCCCGAAAGCUAUUUAGGUAGCGCCUCGUGAAUUCAUCUCCGGGGUAGAGCACUGUUUCGGCUAGGGGCCAUCCCGGCUUACCAACCCGAUGCAAACUGCGAAUACCGGAGAAUGUUAUCACGGGAGACACACGGCGGGUGCUAACGUCCGUCGUGAAGAGGGAAACAACCCAGACCGCCAGCUAAGGUCCCAAAGUCAUGGUUAAGUGGGAAACGAUGUGGGAAGGCCCAGACAGCCGGGAUGUUGGCUUAGAAGCAGCCAUCAUUUAAAGAAAGCGUAAUAGCUCACUGGUCGAGUCGGCCUGCGCGGAAGAUGUAACGGGGCUAAACCAUGCACCGAAGCUGCGGCAGCGACACUGUGUGUUGUUGGGUAGGGGAGCGUUCUGUAAGCCUGCGAAGGUGGCCUGUGAGGGUUGCUGGAGGUAUCAGAAGUGCGAAUGCUGACAUAAGUAACGAUAAAGCGGGUGAAAAGCCCGCUCGCCGGAAGACCAAGGGUUCCUGUCCAACGUUAAUCGGGGCAGGGUGAGUCGACCCCUAAGGCGAGGCCGAAAGGCGUAGUCGAUGGGAAACGGGUUAAUAUUCCCGUACUUGGUGUUACUGCGAAGGGGGGGACGGAGAAGGCUAUGUUGGCCGGGCGACGGUUGUCCCGGUUUAAGCGUGUAGGUGUGUGUUCCAGGUAAAUCCGGUUCACUUUAACACUGAGGCGUGACGACGAGGCACUACGGUGCUGAAGCAACAAAUGCCCUGCUUCCGGAAAAGCCUCUAAGCAUCAGGUAACAUCAAAUCGUACCCCAAACCGACACAGGUGGUCAGGUAGAGAAUACCAAGGCGCUUGAGAGAACUCGGGUGAAGGAACUAGGCAAAAUGGUGCCGUAACUUCGGGAGAAGGCACGCUGACACGUAGGUGAAGUGAUUUACUCACGGAGCUGAAGUCAGUCGAAGAUACCAGCUGGCUGCAACUGUUUAUUAAAAACACAGCACUGUGCAAACACGAAAGUGGACGUAUACGGUGUGACGCCUGCCCGGUGCCGGAAGGUUAAUUGAUGGGGUCAGCGCAAGCGAAGCUCCUGAUCGAAGCCCCGGUAAACGGCGGCCGUAACUAUAACGGUCCUAAGGUAGCGAAAUUCCUUGUCGGGUAAGUUCCGACCUGCACGAAUGGCGUAAUGAUGGCCGGCUGUCUCCACCCGAGACUCAGUGAAAUUGAACUCGCUGUGAAGAUGCAGUGUACCCGCGGCAAGACGGAAAGACCCCGUGAACCUUUACUAUAGCUUGACACUGAACAUUGAGCCUUGAUGUGUAGGAUAGGUGGGAGGCUUUGAAGUGUGGACGCCAGUCUGCAUGGAGCCGACCUUGAAAUACCACCCUUUAAUGUUUGAUGUUCUAACGUGGACCCGUAAUCCGGGUUGCGGACAGUGUCUGGUGGGUAGUUUGACUGGGGCGGUCUCCUCCUAAAGAGUAACGGAGGAGCACGAAGGUUGGCUAAUCUGGUCGGACAUCAGGAGGUUAGUGCAAUGGCAUAAGCCAGCUUGACUGCGAGCGUGACGGCGCGAGCAGGUGCGAAAGCAGGUCAUAGUGAUCCGGUGGUUCUGAAUGGAAGGGCCAUCGCUCAACGGAUAAAAGGUACUCCGGGGAUAACAGGCUGAUACCGCCCAAGAGUUCAUAUCGACGGCGGUGUUUGGCACCUCGAUGUCGGCUCAUCACAUCCCGGGGCUGAAGUAGGUCCCAAGGGUAUGGCUGUUCGCCAUUUAAAGUGGUACGCGAGCUGGGUUUAGAACGUCGUGAGACAGUUCGGUCCCUAUCUGCCGUGGGCGCUGGAGAACUGAGGGGGGCUGCUCCUAGUACGAGAGGACCGGAGUGGACGCAUCACUGGUGUUCGGGUUGUCAUGCCAAUGGCACUGCCCGGUAGCUAAAUGCGGAAGAGAUAAGUGCUGAAAGCAUCUAAGCACGAAACUUGCCCCGAGAUGAGUUCUCCCUGAGACUUAGAGUCUCCUGAAGGAACGUUGAAGACGACGACGUUGAUAGGCCGGGUGUGUAAGCGCAGCGAUGCGUUGAGCUAACCGGUACUAAUGAACCGUGAGGCUUAACCUUACAACGCCGAAG
rnacentral:rRNA from 1 species